UUUAUUAAGACUAUAAAUAUUAAAUUAUUGAACCUAAAUGCUACUUGAGAUUGAUUUUGUUUAUUAGACAAUUUUAAGAUGCGCUGCUAAGCAUCAACUUAAUAAAUUUAAAAACUUUAUUCUCGAAGUUCAAUACAUUAAUAUCCAUAAAGAUUGAAUGUCAUAACUUCUCUUCUAUGGCAUUUAAUAAAUAUGUAAUAUAAAGGGAAAAAUCUAACAUGUAGCCGGCAAGCUAUAAGCCAAGAUCCAGAAAGGAAACAACAGGUCUUAGCAUUGAACUAGACAUGACGGAAGUUAACUGGACCCCAAAUGGUUGUAUUAUGAAAGUGAAUUGGUAGGGUUUAUAAUAAGUAUCUUAAAUGGCCUGUUUGGCUUUCUUUGUAAGUAGUAGAUAUUUGUAGGUGGUACCAUUUAAUUUUAGGCUCUGCUGGGUUUAUAGCACGGCAAAAGCACUAAACUAUGCCAGAUUGCUAACUAACUCUCUGUCUAUGAUCUAUCCAUGUGGUAACGUAGGGGACCAGUUUUCAUUUUUUCUUCCAAUUAUAAAUUCAGAUCAGUUGGCUGAAUAAAGUUUGAUAUGGAGCUGUUAUAGCUUUAGGCAAUCCGGCAUGUGUAGGGAUGACACUUGACGUGGAUGUGGGUAUAUUUAUUUUGAAUUUAUUUAUUUUUUUUGUAAUUUUAAAUUAUUAAAAAUAGUACUCUUCUAUGUUAUAUGCACGUUCUGUAUCUCUACUAUAUUUAAAUAAUAUCGAGUCAUACUAGUAUCUUUUCAAAUAUAUUUUUUGGUGAAUUAAGAUGCAGAACAGCAUUGCUCUUUGUCCACUCCUAGCUCAUCUUUGCUAAAAACACACAUCUAACUUCUACCAUGGAAUAUUUUAUAAGCAAAAGAAGAUAAAGAAGGAUAGAAAAUAAACGGUAUUAACUAGAGAAAUCAUAGGCCUCUUGAUGACUAAGAGAUUAUCGCUAUUUAUAUCAGAAAAGAAAGCAUUGUUGAGUUUCAGGACUUACGGUUUCCAGCGGAGGCAAACCCAGUUCUUAGUUAAUCCUGCUUUGACUGAAUUACUUGCGAAGUGCUAGACAUUAAUUUCUCAACCUCUAAAAAAUAGACAAUGAAGGGAUGUUAACAAAAGUAAUUUCUUAAUAUUACCCUGGAAAUUAAUUAUCACAAAAACGAGCAAAAUGAGAUUUAUGAAAAAUCACCAAAUUCAAAUUUCUUUCUACUACAUUCCUUAACGCAAACAUGAAUUUGGACUACAGCAAUUGGGAAAUCAAGCCAACGAAAGUAAGAAGAGCACCUCAGUGACAAUGCUUAUUAGAAAAUUUACCUGGAGUAAACCUCAUAUCCAAAUCUGGCUUAUUUUUUUCUCUAAAGAAAUCAGGCUUAUUCAGUUCCAAUGCAGCGCCAGUUCCUUUUUUUCUGUAUGGAGCACUUUGAACUAGCAGAAACCACGACCAUGUUGCUGCCAUACAAACACUUCUAUUAUCAGGAGCAGCAAGAAAGAACAACGGAACAAAAAAAUAAAAAGGCUCCACGGUACAACCUAGCAACUCUUUGUUAUUGCUUAAGAUGGAGCCUAUCAAAAUGAGAGAUCAGGCACAAACAUGGUGAAACGGAAGACAAUAUGCCACGACUAAUAUCAUUUUUUAUUUGAUAAAAAUCAAUGUUUAUUGUCAAUUUUACAUCUAACAACAUGGAAGACUUAGUUAUAUUGAUUAAAUGGUGAGAGGAUAGUCGCAUUGCCAUGUUGUCAAUAGAAAAAAAAAAACUUAUAACAAUAAUAGAACGGGAAAAACCAGGGGUGGUUUUUCAGAAUGAGUAAUUAGUUGAUCAUUAGCAUAUCAAAUAUCAACACUCAACCUAAAUUACAAGACAACAGAUGAUUGCAGAUAUAUCUAUCACAUCCUUGUUUUAAACAGCUAUCUUGUUUGCUACAAUGUAUACAUAUAGAUACAAACACAAAUACAAGAAUGCAAUCCACACACGCGUGCGCAUAUAUGUUGAUCACUCAGCAAUAAUUUCCUAAUGAGAAGUUGAUCAUCCAACCUAGCAUUUCUAAUUUACGCAAGGAUAUCUUGUUUACUGGUUGGCUAUAAGCUAGAAACCAUGGCAGCCGAUUCCUUCGUUAAUUUACAAUUCAUUUCCUCUCCGUCUUCAUCUUCUUCUGACAUAAAAUGUGCAUAUAAUCCCAGCACCAAACUCCACGUUUAUUUUACAAAAAUCAAUUUGGUCACCGAAAAUUCAUUUACGAACCAAAAAUUAAGCGAUCGGAAUAAAGGCAGAAUACCAGUCAUGUGUAACGCAACAACAGCUCGAUUGUUUGCUCGGCUCUCGAGUCCAAUUUCUCUGUAUCUCCUACAUCAACUGCCCGAACAAACUAUGCACCUCUCUGUCUCCAUGGAUCGCCGCCGGCAUUGCUCUCCCGUAUAAACUCUUGUGCCCUCUCUGGACUUUCCGCAAUCAGUUCCUUCAAAUUUAUCCGUCCUCCACCAAUCAAUCAAUCAAAUCCAUGAUAAUAAUCAACCAUUAAACGAGAGCUUUUCACAGGACAUCAAUAUAAACUACCUACCGCGUCUCUCUUAUGGAAGCGAUAACCGUCUCCAAGAAAAUCCCGCCUUACACGAAUGUUUUCCCGCUAAUAAAUUUUGGUAAUGCAUGCGGUAUUUAACACCUGGUU
rnacentral:lncRNA from 1 species